AGAGUUUGAUCAUGGCUCAGAAUCAACGCUGGCGGCGUGCCUAACACAUGCAAGUCGAACGCUAUUCGGGGCUUCGGUUCCGAGUGGAGUGGCGAACGGGUGAGUAACACGUGGGUGACCUACCUUCGAGUGGGGGAUAACGUCCCGAAAGGGACGCUAAUACCGCAUGACGUUCUGGAUUUGAACAUCUGGAAACCAAAGCCGGGGACCGUAAGGCCUGGCGCUUGAAGAGGGGCCCGCGUCUGAUUAGCUAGUUGGCGGGGUAAUGGCCCACCAAGGCGACGAUCAGUAGCCGGCCUGAGAGGGCGGACGGCCACACUGGGACUGAGACACGGCCCAGACUCCUACGGGAGGCAGCAGUGGGGAAUUGUUCGCAAUGGGCGCAAGCCUGACGACGCAACGCCGCGUGGGGGAUGAAGGUCUUCGGAUUGUAAACCCCUGUCGAACGGGACGAAUGGCCUCUGAGUUAAUACCUUGGGGGAUUGACGGUACCGUUAAAGGAAGCCACGGCUAACUCUGUGCCAGCAGCCGCGGUAAUACAGAGGUGGCAAGCGUUGUUCGGAAUUACUGGGCGUAAAGGGCGCGUAGGCGGCCUUCUAAGUCAGACGUGAAAUCCCCCGGCUCAACCUGGGAACUGCGUCUGAUACUGGAUGGCUUGAGUGCGGGAGAGGGAUGCGGAAUUCCAAGUGUAGCGGUGAAAUGCGUAGAUAUCUGGAGGAACACCGGUGGCGAAGGCGGCAUCCUGGACCGACA
rnacentral:rRNA from 1 species